rnacentral:rRNA from 1 species
CUGGCGGCGUGCCUAAUACAUGCAAGUCGAACGGUCUUUCUGUGGAAGCUUGCUUCCACUGAGAAGAUAGUGGCGAACGGGUGAGUAACACGUGGGUAACCUGCCCAUAAGAGGGGGAUAACAUCCGGAAACGGGUGCUAAUACCGCAUAGUUUUCUUGAUCGCAUGAUCGGGAAAGGAAAGACGGCCUUUGUGCUGUCGCUUAUGGAUGGACCCGCGGCGUAUUAGUUAGUUGGUGAGGUAACGGCUCACCAAGACGAUGAUACGUAGCCGACCUGAGAGGGUGAUCGGCCACAUUGGGACUGAGACACGGCCCAAACUCCUACGGGAGGCAGCAGUAGGGAAUCUUCCGCAAUGGACGAAAGUCUGACGGAGCAACGCCGCGUGAGUGAAAGAAGGUUUUCGGAUCGUAAAACUCUGUUGUCAGAGAAGAACAAGUUGGAGAGUAACUGCUCCAGCCUUGACGGUAUCUGACCAGAAAGCCACGGCUAACUACGUGCCAGCCGCCGC